CAGAUUUCGGAUUUUUUGUA
rnacentral:miRNA from 1 species